GGAGAGAUGGCUGAGUGGUCGAAAGCGGUCGCCUGCUAAGCGAUUGUAGGGUGAUAAAGCCCUACCUCGGGUUCGAAUCCCGAUCUCUCCGCCA
rnacentral:tRNA from 1 species